GUAUAGAGGGCAACUACACCCUUUAAUGUAGU
rnacentral:guide_RNA from 1 species